ensembl:rRNA 5S_rRNA 5S ribosomal RNA
GUCUGUAGCCAUGCCACCCUGAUCUUGGAAGCUAAGCAAAGUUGGGCCUGGCUAGUAGUUGGAUGAAAGACCAUCUUGGAAUGCUGGAAGCUGUAGGCU